UUGGAGGGCAAGUCUGGUGCCAGCAGCCGCGGUAAUUCCAGCUCCAAUAGCGUAUAUUAAAGUUGUUGCAGUUAAAAAGCUCGUAGUUGAAUUUCGGGGUUAGUAGGUUGGUCAUGCCUCUGGUAUGUACUGGUCUCACUGAUUCCUCCUUCCUGAUGAUCCGUAAUGCCAUUUAUUUGGUGUUGCGGGGAAUUUGGACUGUUACUUUGAAAAAAUUAGAGUGUUUAAAGCAGGCUAACGCCUGAAUACAUUAGCAUGGAAUAAUGAAAUAGGACGUUCGAUCCUAUUUUGUUGGUUUCUAGGAUCGACGUAAUGAUUAAUAGGGAUAGUUGGGGGCAUUAGUAUUCAAUUGUCAGAGGUGAAAUUCUUGGAUUUAUUGAAGACUAACUACUGCGAAAGCAUUUGCCAAGGAUGUUUUCAUUAAUCAAGAACGAAAGUUAGGGGAUCGAAGACGAUCAGAUACCGUCGUAGUCUUAACCAUAAACUAUGCCGACUAGGGAUCGGAUGAUGUUAAUUUUUUAAUGACUCAUUCGGCGCCUUACGGGAAAC
rnacentral:rRNA from 1 species